rnacentral:rRNA from 1 species
CACGUAGGGUGCGAGCGGUGUCCGGAAUUAUUGGGCGUAAAGAGCUCGUAGGCGGUGUGUCGCGUCGGCCGUGAAAACCUGCAGCUUAACUGUGGGCUUGCGGUCGAUACGGGCAUCACUGGAGUUCGGCAGGGGAGACUGGAAUUCCUGGUGUAGCGGUGAAAUGCGCAGAUAUCAGGAGGAACACCGGUGGCGAAGGCGGUUCUCUGGGCAUGUCCUGACGCUGAGGAGCGAAAGUGUGGGGAGCGAACAGG